rnacentral:rRNA from 1 species
GUGGGGAAUCUUGCGCAAUGGGCGAAAGCCUGACGCAGCAACGCCGCGUGCGGGAUGAAGGCCUUCGGGUUGUAAACCGCUUUCAGCAGGGAAGAAAUUGACGGUACCUGCAGAAGAAGCCCCGGCCAACUACGUGCCAGCAGCCGCGGUAACACGUAGGGGGCGAGCGUUGUCCGGAUUUAUUGGGCGUAAAGAGCUCGUAGGCGGUUCGCUAAGUCGGGUGUGAAACCUCCAGGCUCAACCUGGAGACGCCACCUGAUACUGGUGUGACUAGAGUCCGGUAGGGGAGUGUGGAACUCCUGGUGUAGCGGUGAAAUGCGCAGAUAUCAGGAAGAACACCAGCGGCGAAGGCGGCACUCUGGGCCGGUACUGACGCUGAGGAGCGAAAGCGUGGGUAGCAAACAGGAUUAGAUACCCGUGUAGUCC